CCUACGGGAGGCAGCAGUGGGGAAUAUUGCGCAAUGGGCGAAAGCCUGACGCAGCGACGCCGCGUGAGGGAUGAAGGUCUUCGGAUUGUAAACCUCUGUCAGCAGGGAAGAACGGUCACUGUGCUAAUCAGCAGUGAAUUGACGGUACCUGCAAAGGAAGCACCGGCUAACUCCGUGCCAGCAGCCGCGGUAAUACGGAGGGUGCGAGCGUUAAUCGGAAUUACUGGGCGUAAAGCGCUCGUAGGCGGUAUGUCAAGUAAAGGGUGAAAUCCCCGGGCUCAACGUGGGAACUGCCUUUGAAACUGGCGAGCUGGAGUGUGUGAGAGGCAAGUGGAAUUCCAGGGGUAGGAGUGAAAUCCGUAGAUAUCUGGAGGAACAUCAGUGGCGAAGGCGACUAUCUGGCACAUAACUGACGCUGAGGAGCGAAAGCGUGGGUAGCAAACAGGAUUAGAUACCCGAGUAGUC
rnacentral:rRNA from 1 species